GGCAUAUCAGGGAGUUUACCAAAUAUGUAUAUUUGUUCUAUUAUGAUAUUAGUUAAGAUCCACAAUUUCAGCAUUUUAUGCUAAUUACGUUGUACCUGGCACCUGAACUCACAGUGCUUUGUUCACAUUAAAAUCAUCUCUAAUGAUCUCUCUCUGAGUCUGGGCUACAAGUAGCUCAAUAGAUUCUUGAUAUUUCAAGACUUGUGCCAUGACAAAGUAUUGUGUCUUCUCUUACGUAUAAGAGGUUACCUAGGUAUUUAUUUUAUAUUUAAAGCUUCCAAGUACAGAGUCCCUUCGUGGUCGCCAA